GGUAAAUCCGGUUCACUUUAACACUGAGGCGUGAUGACGAGGCACUACGGUGCUGAAGCAACAAAUGCCCUGCUUCCAGGAAAAGCCUCUAAGCAUCAGGUAACAUCAAAUCGUACCCCAAACCGACACAGGUGGUCAGGUAGAGAAUACCAAGGCGCUUGAGAGAACUCGGGUGAAGGAACUAGGCAAAAUGGUGCCGUAACUUCGGGAGAAGGCACGCUGACACGUAGGUGAAGUGAUUUACUCAUGGAGCUGAAGUCAGUCGAAGAUACCAGCUGGCUGCAACUGUUUAUUAAAAACACAGCACUGUGCAAACACGAAAGUGGACGUAUACGGUGUGACGCCUGCCCGGUGCCGGAAGGUUAAUUGAUGGGGUCAGCGCAAGCGAAGCUCCUGAUCGAAGCCCCGGUAAACGGCGGCCGUAACUAUAACGGUCCUAAGGUAGCGAAAUUCCUUGUCGGGUAAGUUCCGACCUGCACGAAUGGCGUAAUGAUGGCCAGGCUGUCUCCACCCGAGACUCAGUGAAAUUGAACUCGCUGUGAAGAUGCAGUGUACCCGCGGCAAGACGGAAAGACCCCGUGAACCUUUACUAUAGCUUGACACUGAACAUUGAGCCUUGAUGUGUAGGAUAGGUGGGAGGCUUUGAAGUGUGGACGCCAGUCUGCAUGGAGCCGGCCUUGAAAUACCACCCUUUAAUGUUUGAUGUUCUAACGUGGACCCGUGAUCCGGGUUGCGGACAGUGUCUGGUGGGUAGUUUGACUGGGGCGGUCUCCUCCUAAAGAGUAACGGAGGAGCACGAAGGUUGGCUAAUCCUGGUCGGACAUCAGGAGGUUAGUGCAAUGGCAUAAGCCAGCUUGACUGCGAGCGUGACGGCGCGAGCAGGUGCGAAAGCAGGUCAUAGUGAUCCGGUGGUUCUGAAUGGAAGGGCCAUCGCUCAACGGAUAAAAGGUACUCCGGGGAUAACAGGCUGAUACCGCCCAAGAGUUCAUAUCGACGGCGGUGUUUGGCACCUCGAUGUCGGCUCAUCACAUCCUGGGGCUGAAGUAGGUCCCAAGGGUAUGGCUGUUCGCCAUUUAAAGUGGUACGCGAGCUGGGUUUAGAACGUCGUGAGACAGUUCGGUCCCUAUCUGCCGUGGGCGCUGGAGAACUGAGGGGGGCUGCUCCUAGUACGAGAGGACCGGAGUGGACGCAUCACUGGUGUUCGGGUUGUCAUGCCAAUGGCACUGCCCGGUAGCUAAAUGCGGAAGAGAUAAGUGCUGAAAGCAUCUAAGCACGAAACUUGCCCCGAGAUGAGUUCUCCCUGAGACUUUAGGUCUCCUGAAGGAACGUUGAAGACGACGACGUUGAUAGGCCGGGUGUGUAAGCGCAGCGAUGCGUUGAGCUAACCGGUACUAAUGAACCGUGAGGCUUAACCUUACA
rnacentral:rRNA from 1 species